UAUUUUAAGAUCAUCUUUUUUUAGCAAGAAAAAACGCCAUGGCAGAUACGCCUUAUGAAUUUUAUUUCCGAAGAUCAGUUAGAAGAAGCUAAAAGAACAAGAGGGGCUAGGCUUGAAGAUGGUACUGCUCAGAGAGAUAGACCCCUUUUCGAGCAAUCACAUCCGCGCCUUUGAUUGUGGACAAGCGAUGAGCUACUACUACUGUUGUCCGGUUCAACAUCACCUGGUCCAGUGCAUCUUGUACAACUCUCUCUGAUUCAGCAUCUAAAGCGCUUGUAGCUUCGUCCAGAAGCAGUAUCUUCGGACUUUUGACAAUGGCACGAGCAAUGGCAACACGCUGCUUCUGCCCACCAGAUAACUGUAUGCCUCUCUCCCCUACUAAGUGUGUGUUUCUCUAACCUGUUGCAAUCCACUUAUGAACUGAUGAGCAUUGGCUUUUUCUGCUGCAGCUAUAACUUCAGCUUCAGUUGCAUCGCCACCCUUCCCAUAAGCAAUGUUGCUUCUAAUCGUAUCAUUGAACAAGGCUGGUUCUUGGCUUACAAGUCCCAUCUGUUGCCUCAACCACUUCACUUGCAAGAAGAAUAAUAAUGAAUAUAUGGAUUUGGACACAGCCAGAGUCUUAUAAGUAAGAAUGUCUUGCCUUGCCACUUCGAAUUGUCAAGCUAAGGUCUCGCAAAAUUUGAACAUCAGGUCUAUUUCCGGCUUUCUGUCUAGGAUUGAAAAAAUAGAUGCAGCAGCUGCUUUAGCUUUGUAUGAAUCUGAUGCCACGGAACUUGAUUGAGAAAUACUGAUAGCAGCCAUUGUCAGUGCAAAGAAAACCUGCAAGGUAUAAUUUUCUUAUCCUGGAAGCCUGUCUCUCUCCGGUGACCAUCCAGCAAGCCACCUCUGUAAACACAAUCGAAGAAAUGAUGCUACACCAGUUCCCAGUCCCAGAUAAACAAACUUUAGCGAAACCUGAUUUAAACAGUUUAAACAGAAUUUGCCAAUUCUCCGUAAAGGACAGUCAUCAAGGGCAUGCUCAAUCCAUUGCCAAUAGAGCCAAUGAUACCGAAUAUCAUCAGCAUAACAUCCACAGAAUCAGCAAAUGCAAAGAGCUUAUGAAACGGUACUAUAUUGGUACUCUCCUUUUCUUUUGAGCCAUGCCCACCGGAACUUCUUUCCACCCCUGUAUCCAGGACCUGCGCUGUGGAGGUUCCACUCAUGUCUUCGCUAACAUCAUUGGCCAUGCUAUCAGUGCUGCUAACCAACUCCGCGUUUGCUCUCUUCAAGUCAGCAGAAAACAAAUCUCCCUUAUAUCUUGGAAAUGGAUCCGAAAUUCAUCUUCAUUGCAGACUUUGUUGCUUUUAUCUCUAGUGCAGCGUCGGUUCUGCAUUCAUGCCUAAGAAUGUAUGUGUACACGAGUUUACAACACAACUUAUGUUUCUGAGAUGAAAACGCAUGAUUAAAUGCCUUUUCAAAGUCCUGCAGGCCUGUGGAAAGAUAGAUGUCUGUUGAUUUUUUUUAAUUAUCUGAGUAACAAUGUGAUAAGCAAGAUGAGAUCUUUACUACUAUUAAAGUGUACCAACUUACUAUGCAAAAGUUAGUAAAAUAUUGUUGUGACAAAAAGGAGUGUUUGGACAAUUUUCGAGGAUACGGCCUCAAAUAUCAUUACCGGAAAAAAUGCCCCCAAAUAUCAUUUUACAAUCCAAACGUUAAAACGUUAGAUGGUGUGUUAUUCAUUUUUCCUUUUUUACUUCUUAACGCCAGAUCGUUUAGCAUUUGAAGGCCUGGAUACUAUUUUUAUUUCACCCUCUAAAACGUCAUAUCAUGUUAUAUUUUGUAGUGAUUUUUAGAUCUAACCGCAACACAAUGUAACAUGUUCUUUUGAAAAUCAAAACACUGGACUAUCCAGUUUUUGACAAUUUCGGCUCUGUUUUUUAUUUUUACUUCAAACUUCACGUACACAAGUUGCAUCAUUUUGAAUCCUUAGAUACACAUCAUACACAUCAUGUAUUUCAAAAAUACCCUCCACUAACGGUGUUAAAUGAAGUUAACGGUUGUACACAAAAUGCACACAUUUUAUUAACUUAAGAUACACAUUUUGCAAUUCUCAAACAACAGAUACACAAGUUGCAUAAUUUGAAAACUUCAAAUACACAUCCUACAUUUUACUCUGAAAAUAAAGCAAAGUGCAGAUGACAAAUACAACUAGCAGAGUGCUUGUCAUUCUCAUCCUCAAGUACUUUUAAGCCUGUUUAUCUCUCAAAAUUUGGCUUUCGAUUUCUAGAUUGGAAGAGGGUACUUGUCAAUAUCAUCAUAUUUGAUAGGACCAUGGUUCAUAUCAAGUACUACCAAUGCUUCUUGCACCUGCAGGUCCUGCACAUCCUCGGCUUCUUGCAUUCACAAAAGAUAGUCUUGAACAUAGAUGAUAUUGCUACAUAUUGCUCAUGUUGCCUCCAUUUGCUCAUCAGACUUACCCUUACGUAGCAACCGGCAAAGAUGUUCAAGUGCUCCUUAAACUCAUUUCUUAGCCCAUUUAAAGAAAGGAGGCCAGCUCUUCUUGGUAAGUCCCAGGAGGUCUCUACACCACUGCAUCCCUUAGCAAUGAAGUUUUUUCUUCAUUUUAUGUUUCCAUAAUUAUGCUUUUCUUUAUUGGGAGGUCCCCGGUAUAUGUAUGCUGAGACUUGUUAAAUAAUAUACAUGUUCUUGGCUGCUGUA